UACGGAGGAUGCAAGCGUUAUCCGGAAUGAUUGGGCGUAAAGCGUCCGCAGGUGGCUAUUCAAGUCUGCGGUCAAAGACUGGGGCUUAACCCUGGAAAGGCCGUGGAAACUGAAGAGCUAGAGUGCAGUAGGGGUAGAGGGAAUUCCCGGUGUAGCGGUGAAAUGCGUAGAGCUCGGGAAGAACAUCGGUGGCGAAAGCGCUCUGCUGGACUGCAACUGACACUCAGGGACGAAAGCUAGGGGAGCGAAUGGG
rnacentral:rRNA from 1 species